GAUGAACGCUGGCGGCGUGCCUAAUACAUGCAAGUCGAGCGAACAGACGAGGAGCUUGCUCCUCUGACGUUAGCGGCGGACGGGUGAGUAACACGUGGAUAACCUACCUAUAAGACUGGGAUAACUUCGGGAAACCGGAGCUAAUACCGGAUAAUAUAUUGAACCGCAUGGUUCAAUAGUGAAAGACGGUUUUGCUGUCACUUAUAGAUGGAUCCGCGCCGCAUUAGCUAGUUGGUGAGGUAACGGCUUACCAAGGCAACGAUGCGUAGCCGACCUGAGAGGGUGAUCGGCCACACUGGAACUGAGACACGGUCCAGACUCCUACGGGAGGCAGCAGUAGGGAAUCUUCCGCAAUGGGCGAAAGCUUGACGGAGCAACGCCGCGUGAGUGAUGAAGGUAUUCGGAUCGUAAAACUCUGUUAUUAGGGAAGAACAAAUGUGUAAGUAACUAUGCACGUCUUGACGGUACCUAAUCAGAAAGCCACGGCUAACUACGUG
rnacentral:rRNA from 1 species